rnacentral:lncRNA from 1 species
AAACAAAUCCGUGACAAAGUGACAGCCAAAAGCAUUUAAGUUCAUUACAUAAUCUGGAUUUAAUGCUAGAAAGCGAAAACUUAAGCAACUACUCCGCAGGGGCUUCGGGAGGGACUUCGCCUCGGAUCACAGCUGGCGAGAUCUGCCCGACCUCCUACUGCAUGCCUGGAGCUACCAUCUCCAUGAGCUGCGUCAGCUCCUUGGAGGUGCGGUUCCUCGCGUAGCCGCUCCCAAUGGUAGAGAAGUCCACACCAUCAUAGUGUGUGGCCACCAAGGUGAAAGCGGUAUGGGCACCCUGGUGGAGUGCCUCCAUGAUUAGGUCAUCCACCCGACCAUGUGCCACCUAAAGUCACUCCACAAGUGGUCCCUCGGGCACCACAACCACGAAUAGGUGGGCCCAGAGCACCUCCGAUGCGCCCCAAACUGACUCGAGGUCCCAG